UUGAUCCUGGCUCAGAUUGAACGCUGGCGGCAGGCCUAACACAUGCAAGUCGAGCGGUAGAGAGAAGCUUGCUUCUCUUGAGAGCGGCGGACGGGUGAGUAAUGCCUAGGAAUCUGCCUGGUAGUGGGGGAUAACGUUCGGAAACGGACGCUAAUACCGCAUACGUCCUACGGGAGAAAGCAGGGGACCUUCGGGCCUUGCGCUAUCAGAUGAGCCUAGGUCGGAUUAGCUAGUUGGUGAGGUAAUGGCUCACCAAGGCGACGAUCCGUAACUGGUCUGAGAGGAUGAUCAGUCACACUGGAACUGAGACACGGUCCAGACUCCUACGGGAGGCAGCAGUGGGGAAUAUUGGACAAUGGGCGAAAGCCUGAUCCAGCCAUGCCGCGUGUGUGAAGAAGGUCUUCGGAUUGUAAAGCACUUUAAGUUGGGAGGAAGGGCAGUUACCUAAUACGUGAUUGUUUUGACGUUACCGACAGAAUAAGCACCGGCUAACUCUGUGCCAGCAGCCGCGGUAAU
rnacentral:rRNA from 1 species